rnacentral:rRNA from 1 species
CAGUAGCCGCGGUAAUACGAAGGGGGCUAGCGUUGCUCGGAAUGACUGGGCGUAAAGGGCGCGUAGGCGGCGGCCAAAGUCAGGCGUGAAAUUCCCGGGCUCAACCUGGGGGCUGCGUUUGAUACUUGGUUGCUUGAGUGAGGAAGUGGGUUGUGGAAUUCCCAGUGUAGAGGUGAAACUCGUAGAUAUUGGGAAGAACACCGGUGGCGAAGGCGGCAACCUGGUCCUUGACUGACGCUGAGGCGCGAAAGCGUGGGGAGCAAACAGGAUUAGAUACCCCCGUAGUCCCUGUCUCUUAUAC